UGGGAACUGCGUUNUGAACUGGGUGACUAGAGUGUGUCAGAGGGAGGUAGAAUUNCACGUGUAGCAGUGAAAUGCGUAGAGAUGUGGAGGANUACCGAUGGCAAAGGCAGCCUCCUGGGAUAACACUGACGUUCAUGCCCGAAAGCGUGGGUAGCAAACAGGAUUAGAUACCCUGGUAGUCCACGCCCUAAACGAUGUCGGUUAGCUGUUGGGCAGCAUGACUGCUUAGUAGCGAAGCUAACGCGUGAAAUCGACCGCCUGGGGAGUACGGUCGCAAGAUUAAAACUCAAAGGAAUUGACGGGGACCCGCACAAGCGGUGGAUGAUGUGGAUUAAUUCGAUGCAACGCGAAGAACCUUACCUGGUCUUGACAUGUGCGGAACCCUCCAGAGACGGAGGGGUGCCUUCGGGAGCCGUAACACAGGUGCUGCAUGGCUGUCGUCAGCUCGUGUCGUGAGAUGUUGGGUUAAGUCCCGCAACGAGCGCAACCCUUGUCAUUAGUUGCCAUCAUUAAGUUGGGCACUCUAAUGAGACUGCCGGUGACAAGCCGGAGGAAGGUGGGGAUGACGUCAAGUCCUCAUGGCCCUUAUGACCAGGGCUUCACACGUCAUACAAUGGUCGGUACAGAGGGUAGCCAAGCCGCGAGGUGGAGCCAAUCUCACAAAACCGAUCGUAGUCCGGAUUGCACUCUGCAACUCGAGUGCAUGAAG
rnacentral:rRNA from 1 species